rnacentral:rRNA from 1 species
AACGUAGGACGCAAGCGUUAUCCGGAGUUACUGGGCGUAAAGCGCGGGCAGGCGGCUCGAUGCGUCUGAUGUGAAAUCUUCUCGCUCAACGGGGAGAGGCCAUUGGAAACGGUCGAGCUGGAGGGCAGUAGAGGUAGGCGGAAUUCCGGGUGGAGUGGUGAAAUGCGUAGAGAUCCGGAGGAACACCAGAGGCGAAGGCGGCCUACUGGGCUGCACCUGACGCUGAGACGCGAAAGCCAGGGGAGCGAACGGG